GACAGAGGGUGCAAACGUUGCUCGGAAUCACUGGGCGUAAAGGGCGUGUAGGCGGGACUGUAAGUCGGGCGUGAAAUCCCUAGGCUCAACCUAGGAACUGCACUCGAAACUGCGUUUCUUGAGUAUCGGAGAGGAAAGCGGAAUUCCUGGUGUAGAGGUGAAAUUCGUAGAUAUCAGGAGGAACACCAGUGGCGAAGGCGGCUUUCUGGACGAUUACUGACGCUGAGACGCGAAAGCGUGGGGAGCAAACAGG
rnacentral:rRNA from 1 species